ACAAGACAGCAGUGGAUACUUUUUGAUU
rnacentral:sRNA from 1 species